AGGGAAUAUUGGACAAUGGGCGAAAGCCUGAUCCAGCCAUGCCGCGUGAGUGAUGAAGGCCUUAGGGUUGUAAAGCUCUUUCAGCGGGGAAGAUAAUGACGAUACCCGCAGAAGAAGCCCCGGCUAACUUCGUGCCAGCAGCCGCGGUAAUACGAAGGGGGCUAGCGUUGCUCGGAAUCACUGGGCGUAAAGCGCACGUAGGCGGCUUUCUAAGUCAGGGGUGAAAUCCUGGAGCUCAACUCCAGAACUGCCUUUGAUACUGGAAAGCUUGAGUUCGGGAGAGGUGAGUGGAACUGCGAGUGUAGAGGUGAAAUUCGUAGAUAUUCGCAAGAACACCAGUGGCGAAGGCGGCUCACUGGCCCGAUACUGACGCUGAGGUGCGAAAGCGUGGGGAGCAAACA
rnacentral:rRNA from 1 species